CGGAGCGACGCCGCGUGGUUGAUGAAGUCCUUCGGGACGUAAAAACCUUUUAUGAGGGAAGAAGUUUAUUGACGGUACCUCAGGAAUAAGGGGUUGCUAAACUCGUGCCAGCAGCAGCGGUAAUACGAGUGCCCCAAGCGUUAUCCGGAAUCAUUGGGCGUAAAGGGUGCGUAGGCGGUUGUGUUAGUCUCCUGUGAAAGCUCCCGGCUUAACCGGGAAUGGGCGGGAGAAACGGCACAACUUAGAGCAGGUGAGAGGUCAGUAGAACUCAUGGUGUAGGGGUGAAAUCCGUUGAUAUCAUGGGGAAUACCAAAAGCGAAGGCAGCUGACUGGCGCCGAGCUGACGCUGAGGCACGAAAGCGUGGGUAGCGAACGGGAUUAGAUACCCCGGUAGUCCACGCCCUAAACGAUGUUCUCUAGCUUUUCGGAGUAUCGACCCUCUGAGAGGCGUAGCUAACGCGUUAAGAGAACCGCCUGGGAAGUACGGCCGCAAGGCUAAAACUCAAAAGAAUAGACGGGGACUUGCACAAGCGGUGGAUCAUGUGGUUUAAUUCGACACUAAACGAAAAACCUCACCAGGGCUUGAAACUCCAACGAAGACUUGAGGAAACUCAAGUGGUCUUCACAAGAGACGGUGGAGCAGGUGAUGCAUGGCUGUCGUCAGUUCGUGGCUUGAGUUGUUCCCUUAAGUGGGGAAACGAACGCAACCCUUGUCGCGUGUUACAAGUGUCACGCGAGACUGGCCGCCUUUGUGCGGCAGGAAGCGGGGAUGACGCCAAGUCAGCAUGUCCCUUUGACGCCCUGGGCUACACACAUGAUACAAUGGCCGUUACAACGGGUUGCGACGAGGAAACUCUGAGCUAAUCCUUUAAAAGCGGCCCCAGUUCGGAUUGAGGUCUGCAACUCGACCUCAUGAAGUUGGAAUCGCUAGUAAUCGCGGGUCAGCUAUACCGCGGUGAAUACGUUCUCAAGUCUUGUACUCACCGCCCGUCAAGCCAAGGGAGCCGGGAGUGCCCAAAGUUCCGCCUUAGGCGGACCUACGGUAAGCUCGGUAACAAGGGUUAAGUCGUAACAAGGCACGGGUAGCGGAAGCUGUUCGUG
rnacentral:rRNA from 1 species